rnacentral:rRNA from 1 species
AUGACUCCCACCAUUUCACUAGUCAGUGACCUAAUUGACACGGAUAACUGGACUUGGAAACAAGACCUAGUUCGGCAGAAUUUUAUUGCACCUGACGCCGCGGCCAUACUGAACAUUCCAUUACGACACGAUGGGGGUGAAGAUUCAUUUGCAUGGGCACAUGAGAGGACAGGCAACUACACUGUUAAGUCAGCGUACCGAGCUCUAGUGAUUCAGAAAGAGCAUCAAGCUCGCGAAGAAGGGCCGGCUACAGAAGCAUCAGCGAACAAACAACAGUUGUGGAAAGCUCUAUGGUCUCUCAAGGUGGUCCCUAAGGUGCGUGUGUUUUGGUGGAGGGUACUUCGUGGUAUACUGCCGGACGAAUGCACGCUCAAAUAUCGUCAUAUCAGGGACACUAGCAUCUGCAAACUUUGUCAGGCACAUGAUGAAAUCUUCAGCAUGCUCUUAUGUUUUGCUUACAUGCCAAGAGAUUCUGGGAUGAAGCGCGCCAGCUUCUGGACAUAA